rnacentral:rRNA from 1 species
AUGUGUCUUUCAUUAGAUCGAGUGGCAGGACAUUAUGAAGUGGUGGAGGUAGUGCUUGCUCACAAUCAUGGUGUCUACUUACCACAAACUUUCCAUUUGAUGUCAUCACAACGGAGGAUUUUAGAAUUGCAAGCUGUUGAAAUUGAGGCUGCCGAUGACUCUGGAAUUAGGCCAAGGCAUGCACAUGACUUGGCUAGUCGCCUUGUUGGGGGGCCAAUGAAUCUCAGCUACACGCCUCGUGAUCACAAAAAUCACUUGCAGAGCAGGCGCCAAAGAGAGUUAGCAUAUGGUCAGGCGGGAAGCAUGUUGAAGUAUUUUCAACAAAAGCAGGCUGAGAAUCCGUCUUUCCAGUAUACUUUACAAUUGGAUUUCGAAGAACAAAUAAGUAUUAUAUUCUGGGCUGAUGCAAAGAUAUGCAUUGAUUAUGCAUACUUUGGAGAUGUUAUCGUCUUUGACACUACUUUUGGCACAAACAAAGAAUAUAGACCUUUUGGUGUUUUCGUCGGAUUCAAUCAUUUUAGAGAGACCGUUAUUUUUGGUGCUGCUCUUUUGUUUGAUGAAACACGUGGCUCUUUCAAAUGGUUAUUUGAGGCUUUUGUAGAGGCACACAACGGAAGGCAGCCUUUGAAGAGGCAUUUGACAUCAUGA